rnacentral:rRNA from 1 species
UGGGGAAUUUUGGACAAUGGGGGAAACCCUGAUCCAGCCAUCCCGCGUGUGCGAUGAAGGCCUUCGGGUUGUAAAGCACUUUUGGCAGGAAAGAAACGUCAUGGGUUAAUACCCCGUGAAACUGACGGUACCUGCAGAAUAAGUACCGGCUAACUACGUGCCAGCAGCCGCGGUAAUACGUAGGGUGCAAGCGUUAAUCGGAAUUACUGGGCGUAAAGCGUGCGCAGGCGGUUCGGAAAGAAAGAUGUGAAAUCCCAGAGCUCAACUUUGGAACUGCAUUUUUAACUACCGGGCUAGAGUGUGUCAGAGGGAGGUGGAAUUCCGCGUGUAGCAGUGAAAUGCGUAGAUAUGCGGAGGAACACCGAUGGCGAAGGCAGCCUCCUGGGAUAACACUGACGCUCAUGCACGAAAGCGUGGGGAGCAAACAGG